GACUCUGUAAAGCUCAGAGUUUUGACAGCACUCGCCAAAGGAGGCGCUGGUUCUUCAGCCCAUCCAUGAGGCCAUCUGCUCACCAGGAUGGCAGAGAUCACCCCCAGAGACACAGCCCAUGGGGUUUUGCUCCUUGUCCAUUCCACCUCCUCAGAGCCAGGAGCUCGGACUGAUUUCUCCUGAAAACGUCACAGAAAGCAGCAAAUUUGUGCUUCUGUAAAUAAGUGCAGACCUGAAGCUACAACAGCGCCAGAUUGUGGUAUAACUACAAAGAACCUGUUGCUCUAGUAUUUGGAUAAUAUUUCACUCAUAUAUCUGCUUUUUCUGAUUUGAAUUACUCAGUGCAGCUCUCGGUGGUCUGCAUACAGCAAUUGCCUACAAAUAUUGUAAGGCCUGUCCCUGAGACAUCACCAAUGAAAUUCCACCUAAGACUGUCACUGAAAUUUAAUCUCCAAGGUGUUUGUGGUCUAAACACCUGAAUCAUGAACUGAGUCAGGAUCUCAGUGAAGACUCCCUGGAAACAAGAGGACAAUGAGCUGAGAAUCCAGCCCAGGGCUGAGUCAGAGGCAGGUUCAGAGACAUUCACCAAUAUUUUCCAAAGCAGAGAUACCUAUGGCCUGCUUGAGAAACUGUGAGAAUGGUGAGCUGGUUAAAGGAGCAGCUGUGUUCAUUUUUCAGCCUCAGACCUCUGUGUUUCUGCAGGACAGGUAUUGAAAAGAAAAAGCAGAGACAAAAUUGAAGGAUGUUUCAAUAUGAAAUAACACCCCUGAGACUGAUCUUAGCAAGAGAGAGCAUCACCUGCAGCAGCUGAGUCCUGGCGAGGUGAUCAGGAGUGAAUCUGUCAUGGGAGAAUGUUUUGGUAGCUCCCCUCCAGACUGUCAAGAGGAGAAGAAAGGGUGUUCCACUGCUAUUUCUGUCAGGACUGCGAUCCAGGAGCGCAGGGAGGAGUUUUCUGUCUCAGAGGUGAACUCCCACCACCGCAGCCUCUGGCUGCCCACAGAUGAAAACUGGAUUUGAGUGGGUUCAGGAAGUUCUGUGUGCAUCAUUUAUGUAGCUCAAGCAGGUUGAAUUCCUCUGGGAAGAUGCCAGCACAUACCCUCAGGAUGAGGAUAUCAGCAGUUAUGAGGUGAGGGACUUGGCAGAAGGUCUGAAAGGGACCAGUGACACAGGAGAAUUUCCAGUGGCUCAUUCUCUCCUUCUUCCCACGUAAAGCCUGCACACCCAACAAUUCACACACCUUAAAAUAU